UAAUAUGACUGAUGUUUGUAAUUGCUUUAUUAUAUUAUCUGAAAUGUCCAAUUGAUAUACUGUUUGCCAGUCAAUAUGUUUUUUGUUUCAACAGCUUAUGAUCCUUCCCAAAGUUUUUAUAUUUUUCUUGGUUGCCCAAUAAAUUAGCCAUUUGAUUCCUCAGGUUCUCCACCAAAAAUUACAAUAAUUGGAAGCAAUGAGGGAAAGAUCAGGUUGCUGAUACAACCACAAGAAGAAAAGGGAAUGCCAUAAUAAAGACACUCCUAGUGAUACACACUAUGAAAUGACUGUGCUUAGACUGACUAUUCUAACACAUAUACAAGCAUUUUAUGUUCCUCUUUUCUUCUUUAAGGUUUGCUUUCUCUGCUUAGAUUAGCUUCUUGGCUUCUCUCAGAGUAACCACCUCUUCUUCCCUGGAGGCAGCUUUUGUCCAUGAACCUGGUCCUUUUUGAAAAAGUUCAAAUGUCUAGAAGCAACAGGCAAUCUCAGGGAUUCCUUGUCCCAAGAUACAGAACUACCAGUCCCCUUCAGCAGUAACAGACAUCUCCUCUUUACUGUUGGAGGAGAGUAUAAAGUUCUGUACUCUGUAUAACAAGGCACAUGUUUUUAUAGAUUAAAUUCGUCAUGUUCCAUUGUACUAAUGGAAGUUGGCAAAAAGUAAACCAGGAGACUGGCUUUGAAAAUGACUUAUUAAUAGGUGAUUCAGUGCCUGAAAGAAAACAUUUAGGGAGCUAUGGUCUGAUGGGUAAGUUUCCAUUGUUUUGUAUAUUCUUGCAUCUAAUUUUUAAUAUAGGAGCUGUCGUUUUACAUCUUUUUCUUUAAUGCCCAAGCUUUUUUGAACAGGUAAGUUUCCAGCCUUUCUUCUCCUUCACAUGAGAUAACAUGUAACUCAUAUACCGUAUACUUUAAUAUGUUGCAUAAACAGAAAAAAGGGGGUAAAUGUGUGCAUUGGUAUGCUUUACUUCUUUUAGAAAACCUUAAAUUUGUGAAACUGAACCCCUGAAAGUUUAUUAAUAGGGCUGUUAUUUAGUCCAAACUUCAGAACAGUAAGUUGACUUCUGUAACAAUAUCUGAUAAUGUGCAUUAAAUUUCAAAUAACUAGUAUCACAUUUUUAUAACCCACAGCUAUUCUGAAAACAGAUUGCGUCUUCAAUCUCUUUUAACUGGUAAACUUAAGAUGUGAAUAUAUGCAUCAUUAGAGUCAGAAUAGAAAAGAAUAGGAUAAGGGAAGCAAAAGAAGAUACAAUGAUAUGAAUAU
rnacentral:lncRNA from 1 species